UACGUAGGUGGCAAGCGUUGUCCGGAAUUACUGGGUGUAAAGGGAGCGCAGGCGGGAAGCCAAGUCAGCUGUGAAAACUACGGGCUUAACUUGUAAACUGCAGUUGAAACUGGUUUUCUUGAGUGAAGUAGAGGUUGGCGGAAUUCCGAGUGUAGCGGUGAAAUGCGUAGAUAUUCGGAGGAACACCGGUGGCGAAGGCGGCCAACUGGGCUUUAACUGACGCUGAGGCUCGAAAGUGUGGGGAGCAAACAGG
rnacentral:rRNA from 1 species